rnacentral:rRNA from 1 species
CUACGGGCGGCAGCAGGCGCGAAACCUCUACAAUGCACGAAAGUGUGAUAGGGGAACCCCAAGUGCUCAUGCUCUGCAUGGGCUUUUGCCAAAUGUAAAAAGUUUGGCGAAUAAGUGGUGGGUAAGACUGGUGCCAGCCGCCGCGGUAACACCAGCGCCACGAGUGGCAAUCAUAUUUAUUGGGCCUAAAGCGUCCGUAGCCGGCCUGUUAAAUUCUUUGUGAAAUUGUUUAGCUUAACUAAACAGCGUGCAGAGAAAACUGGCAGACUUGGGACCGGGAGGGGUUAGAGGUAUUCCUUGGGUAGCGGUAAUAUGCUAUAAUCCUUGGAGGACCACCUGUGGCGAAGGCGUCUAACCAGAACGGAUCCGACGGUGAGGGACGAAAGCUAGGGGAGCAAUCCGGAUUAGAUACCCUGGUAGUC